CCAAGCGCCUUGCUGGAGAUCCUUCAGCUGCCUCUGGGAAGAGUCCUGACCUUCCAAGGUCUUGUCUCCUUCUCCUCCACCCCAAGACCCUGAGAAUGGAAGGGAUGAGCUUCCCCAGUCCUCACCAUCACCCGCUUCCUCCCGCUCAGAAUCAUUGCUUUCUCUGUUGAUCAAUUUCCAAUCAAUCACCCCAACUGUUCGUGGGCCCAGAACAAUUGACAUUUGUUCUGCAGAUGCCCUUCCUGGAGGCACAGCUGGAUCUGCAUCAAGGCCUUCUCCAGAAUUGGGAACACAGCUUAAAGGGCCCCCACACCCUGUUGGCAGGGAGAUAUCUGUGUGAUCAGUGUCCAGGAAGCCAUGAGCCCUCAGUGCUGGUCAUUGUACCCAGUACUAAUGAGGACAGUGGGCAGCUGGUAUCUGUUGGGGGUAAGGAUAGGGGUGGUUUAUGAGGCAGAAUUAUUGCAACUACAUCUAAGUAGUUAACCAGAAGCAAUUUUUCCCCCUUGCUGCGAGUGGAACCCAGGGCCUCAUGCAUGCCAGGCAAGGGGGUGUACCACUGAGCUGCACCCCCAGCCCAGGAGCAAUCUAUUUCCAGAGGCAUCGACUGUUUUGAAACUCAUGCGUGAUUUCUCACCUAUAGUGAGUCAGCAAGGCUAGUCCUACUGUCCCGAAUCAUUUCCAUGACCUUGGUGGUGCUCAGUGACAUCCUACUUUCCAAUCAGCUAUGACUCUCCCGAAUGCAUGCCUGCCCUUCUUCCCUCUGGUUUAUCAUAGGAGCAACCAACCACAAUAAAUCGCCACAGGCCUUGAAUGCUUACGCGGACUGUUCAUCCACUGAAAUUUGUCACCACAAUCCUAUCAAGUCAGAAUUUAGGUUAUCCCCAUUUUAUAGAGGAGAAACCAAGGUGUGGGGCGGCAAGAAGCUUGCUAUCAAUGUUACAGCUGAUCCAUGGGGGAGCAGAGGCUCCAGCCCCGAUCUCUAAGUGAGUCCUCUUAACCACUCUGCUGGAGAGCCUUCUCCUGUGGAUAGAAAGGCCUGGUUUCAUUGGGACAGCCCCUUCCCCAAGCCCUCUUCUGCACAGCCCAGGGCCACCCACCAGUUGGCAGCCCUGCCACCACUCAGUCCCCGCUGCCUGCAGUUAAUUAUUCUAAAAAGACAUUUGCAAGCCCAGCUCUGUGGGUCUAAUGUGUUCUCCCUUUUGCUAAUUUAAUAAUCCUGUUUUCAGAAACGGGUGUGCUUUUAAAAUUCGUUUGCUGGGCUGAUCGCUCUGCAGAUACUUCCUGAUGCUGGUUUUCUUCUUUGAACACAGGCUCACAAAGCCCUGUGGGUUUCAAGAUUAAGACCCAUGAUUUGUGACUGGGGUGUCUGCUCCUCGGCUCUCUGUUGUGGUCAGCUGCAGGCGUCAGGCAGGGCCAGUCUGAAAUCCUGAAAAAUCUAACAUACCAGAUCGCCCAAAGAAGAGGCAGCUUGGCUUCUACUGCCUCCGGAGCCACUGGGAUUACAGGCGUACACCACCACAUCUGGCAUUGAAGAUCCAUUUGGGAGACAAAACAAAUGGUUUGUUUGAACAGAAGAAACUAAUGCAAAGAACUGUUAGCCAGGUAUGUCUGUCUAUCUAUUUAUCUACAUAUACAUUCAUUCACCAAUCCAUCUUAUUUUUAAUGCAUUUCAAAAUAAAUGGCAGGCAUUUCCCUCAAAACUCCAUUAUUCACAUCUUAACUUAAAAUGUAAUGUUUAAAAUUUUUUUCUUUUAAUGUAAACUUUACAUAAAUGAUAGGCAAAAAUCCUAAGUAUACAUUUGCUGUGUUUUGGCAGAAGUAUACACUAAUGUGACUUAAAUUGCUAUCCAAAUAUAUGAAAUUGCCAUCACCCCAGAAAAUUCCUUCAUUCACAUUCUCAGGCAAUUUCUUGCAAAUUCAACCCCUGUUCUGAUUUUUUUCCACCAUAUAUUAAUUUGGCCAAAUUUUCUCAACCUCAGCAUUUUUCUUUUCUUUUUCUCCUCACAACCUGUUCCCUUGGCUGUGAUUUUGCUGGACUGCAAGGUAGGGACAGUAGGAAUCUCAUUCAUCCCCUCAUGCUCAUCACUAAUUAGAUGAUGAGACAUUUGGCUACCUUAAGAGAGUCAUAGUUACUUUGCAUUGAAUUUGUUCAGUUUGACAUUCUAACACUGGGAGGAAUCAUAUUGCAUUAAUACCUGUGUAAACUAUUAACAUUUUGGCCUAAAUAAUUCUUUGUUUUUUGAGUGAGCUGUCCUGUGCACUAAUUUAGCCUGUCUUAUAAGUUCACAUAAGUAGAAUGUAUUCUUUUUGGUUUAGCUUCUUUUCAUGUAAUGUAGUUUUUGUGAGAUUCAUCAUUGUUGUUUUCUGUAUCAUUGAGUGUACUUUUUAUGUUGAAUAGUAUUCCAUUAUAUAGCUAUAUCACAGUUUGUUUAUUCAUUCUUCUGUUAAUGGACACCUGGACCCUUUCCAAGAUUGGUUAUUAUGAAUAAAGCUGCUAUGGAUGUC